rnacentral:pre_miRNA from 1 species
UCUUAUGAAUCAGCAAAGAAAGUGGUUUCUUGAAACAGAAUCUACUCCUUGUGAAGAUACUAUGAA